CUGAGUGACUGAAGUGAACUGAACAGCAUCUUGAUGAAGGCUUUUGCCUGUGAAAAAUAUUUCAACUUGGUAGGUACAGAUAGUCUUCUUUUCUUUCAGUGUGAACACUUACUAAACAUCUUCCUAUAUGGCCUCUGCUUACGUUUUGCUUGGAGCCUGUAAGAAAUGAAACAGAAUUCAGGAGAUUAAGUGGCUUGGCUAAAGCCUUAGAGUCAGUAAGUGGUAGAAGCAGCACUGGGGAUUCAAGCACAUGCUCUUGCCAAAACCCUUCCCCGAGCCUGCUCAGUUAGGCUUUCUAGAAGGCCUCCUUACUCAUAUGAAUUAGAUAGGACAAUGGAGACCAUGAAGAAGACCCAAGCCAGACACUCACAGAACCUCUAAGAGGACCAAGGUUGACCCACAGUAAAAUGGUGAAGUGUGUUUUAGGUGGGUUCACUGAUGGUGUGACAUUCCCCAUCUCUGGGGUCAUUCAUAACUAUCACUGGCUGCCCUGGAAUCUCAUUCCUGCCUUGUUGGAUUUUUUGAUCCAGAUAGUUUCUAACUUUCUCCAUCAUCAAAAUCUUCCCCUUCAAAAAUACCUGUAGGUUCCAAUAGAUAAGUAACUAGUGAACUGGAUUAUCCUAGACUGUUUUUGACACUGGCCCUGUACAGACAUUCUUAUUCAUAGGCGUGACUUCUGGAGUGGACAUUUCAGACACAUCAGCAGAGGAGUGGAGAAAUCUUACAGAAGGAUUGAAGAUCUGAUGGUAACCCUACAACCAUGUCACCAGCCUGGAUCAGAUGUGGCUGGACCUAAACCAGCUACAAGUAGGCUUAUCUACUGCACAAAAGUCAUAGUCGCCGGUACCUCCAGGCUCAUACCCCCAUUUCGAGAGAAGAAGGGGGCUCUUCUCUCAGCCCCAAAUGGAAUUCCUGGAGAAGGACUCAGGAGGGUCCAGUGUGGCCCCAAGUUUACCGUUCAACCAGCUGUGGUGGUCAGAGCUUAGUGAGGGCUUGAUCCCUCUGAACUGGAUCACAUGAUGACAGGAAGGUGAGCGUAAUGGAAGGGUGGUUCUUUGAGUGCAUCCACCAAACCCCAGCCUCCUGAGAGACCUGCGUGCAGGCCAGGGAGCAACAGUCAGAGCUGGACACGGAACAAUAGACUGGCUCCAAAAAGGAAAAGGAGUACGUCAAGGCUGUAUAUUGUCACCCUGCUUAUUUAACUUAUGUGCAGAGUACAUCAUGAGAAACGCUGGGCUGGAUGGAGCACAAGCUGGAAUCAAGAUUGUGG